rnacentral:tRNA from 1 species
GCAUUGGUGAGUCAGUGGUAGACCGCUCGCCUUCCAUGCAGGAGACCUGGAUUCAAUUCCCAGCCAACGCA